rnacentral:lncRNA from 1 species
GCCACGUGGCCAUACCCACCGCAAGUAAAACAGCCACCACCAGCGGCUCCGCCACCACCACUGCCCUGACGGCAAUCUCUAGCCAUGUGCCCAGGCUCGCCGCAACUAUAGCACCCAUCACCACCGGAACCGCCCCCAUUCCUCCGGUCACCGCCUCUCCAUCCACCGCUAAAUCCAGAACCACCACCACCUCCGCCACGGCCACCAGAGUGACCGAAGCUCUCCUUCUUGUUACCGAUCAACGGCGCACCGUCAGGGCCUGUCACAUCGAUGGCCUUGGUCUUGCCGUCAUCGCCGAAGUCGAUGAGGAACUCGACGGACUCACCCUCCGCGACGGUGCGGAAUCCGUCGGAUCUGAUCGAGGACUGGUGGACGAAGAGGUCCUCGCCUCCGGCGUCGGGGGUGAUGAAGCCGUAGCCCUUGACGUCGUUGAACCACCGCACCUUCCCGGUCGAUCUCUCCUCAGCCAUCGUAAAAGGUUAAAAGUUCCGAUAUGGA